rnacentral:tRNA from 1 species
UGGGGUGUAGCUCAGUGGUAGAGCUCUUACUCAGCAUGCAUGAGGCCCUGGGUUCAAUCUCCAGUACUACAA